GCUGGCACUGCCCUUCGUCGACCCCCUCCUCGCCGUAUGGCUGCCUCGCCGCCCAGCAGCCACCACCAAUGUCCACCUGGCCGUCAACCUCAUCCACUACUACAGAGCGAAGGUAACACAUUUAACACUUGGUAAAUUCAGUUAACUAAAGGCUAAAGACAAUCUACCAAGGCUAAAGCAUAUACUGACAUGAAACGACAAUAAUGGAGCCAUGGAGCGGCAGCAACUCAAGGACAAUUGGUUUCUUCAAGAAGGUAGAAGACGCCGUCCACCCCGUGUCGCCGUCGCCAGAAGGUAGAAGACGCCGUCCACUCCUGUUCAGCCACUGCACCAUCGUCCAGCACCUCAAGGCCGACAUCACCUGGAGCUCCUGUUCAAGAUUUCAGAUUCAGAGAUGAGUACUGAAACUACUUGAUGCUAAGAUUCAGACUAAAGUUACUGUCAAAACUGUC